rnacentral:tRNA from 1 species
GAGGGUAUAGCUCAAGUGGUAGAGUACAUGUUCGGCAUGUAGGAGGUCCUGGGUUCAAUCCCCAGUACCUCCU